GAUGAACGCUGGCGGCGUGCCUAAUACAUGCAGGUCGAGCGAACAGACGAGGAGCUUGCUCCUCUGACGUUAGCGGCGGACGGGUGAGUAACACGUGGAUAACCUACCUAUAAGACUGGGAUAACUUCGGGAAACCGGAGCUAAUACCGGAUAAUAUAUUGAACCGCAUGGUUCAAUAGUGAAAGACGGUUUUGCUGUCACUUAUAGAUGGAUCCGCGCCGCAUUAGCUAGUUGGUAAGGUAACGGCUUACCAAGGCAACGAUGCGUAGCCGACCUGAGAGGGUGAUCGGCCACACUGGAACUGAGACACGGUCCAGACUCCUACGGGAGGCAGCAGUAGGGAAUCUUCCGCAAUGGGCGAAAGCCUGACGGAGCAACGCCGCGUGAGUGAUGAAGGUCUUCGGAUCGUAAAACUCUGUUAUUAGGGAAGAACAAAUGUGUAAGUAACUAUGCACGUCCUGACGGUACCUAAUCAGAAAGCCACGGCUAACUACGUG
rnacentral:rRNA from 1 species